UUAAAUAUAUUUUUCUAGUAUAUUUAUAGGUAUGAGUAUAUUUUACCUUAGAAUUAUUGAUAAAGGUUUGCAUGCUUUUAUUUACUACAUUAUGUAAGCUAAAAAAACAACCUUUUAAAACUUGUGCUUGGGCUAUGUUGUAAAACAUACAGCUUCUUCACAAAAAGUAUUAGUGUUACUCAUAUAAGAUUUAUUUAUACCUAAUACUUAUUAAAUUAGGUAUGUGUGUAAAACUAUUUUUUUACUAGGAUUUCUGAUGCACUGGUUAAAAACACAGCAGCCAAUAAUUCAGUUAAUUUACCAAGUGAUUUACCCUUCAAAGCUACAGGGGUAGCUUUCCUGAAGAGUGCAAAAACUUCUUUAGCUUUCAAAAUGGUAUAUAGUACAAACAGUGAAGCUAAUAUAGACACGUAUGGAUAAUUAAAAUAGAUUAAUAUUCUUGAUACACCAAAUUUUGUAUAAUUACAGAUCUGAUCAUUCAUCAUCAACAAUAACUGCAUCUGAGAAUUAUAGUUCUACAGUAACCAUGGAGUCUAGGUCAACAAUUACUAUUUCUCAUCCAAGCCGUUUUUGUUUAACUGCUACACAUUCCCUGACUCUGCCAAGGAAAAGGGUAAAAUCAAAAUGAUAUUCUGAGGACCUAAGCACUGAUGAUUCCACCGUUUCAAGAGCUUAAUCACUUGUCACCAGAUUAUGGAAAAAAAAUAAAGAACAAAAAAUUAAAAUUCGAAGAUUGCAACAAGCAAAUUUGCGCCAAAGAAAUUGAAUUAGAUGUCUCAAGUCAUUAUUAAAAUACUUACAUGAAAUAAUAACAUGAUUUUAUGGAAAAGCCCAACAUACUACAUAUUUUAUUUGACUUGUAAAAGCACUUGUUUGUAUAUUACUACUAAUAAACUCUCUAAUCUAAUCUAUUGUA